CAGGAGGUAGGGAAGGGCGGUGGAACAGUAGGAGAAUUACGGAGCGCCAUUAAGGACAAGUUUGGCCACGUGACUCUCAUGGGAGUUUCCUGGAGCGAACGUCGGUCAGCUUUGGCUGGUCAGAAGCCAAAGGAACAAAGGUGCAAAACUGGUCUUGACUCUUGCUUGACAUGCUGCGCCCCAGCCGAUAUCCAAACCCGCAAAAUGAGCUGCUGCCAACCUUGGAUCCUUGAGGCGAGCGUCAGGUUCCCUUUUAUUCAGCUUUUGCGCGUUUGCCUCUGCUGUUUUACUUCCCGUUUAUUCUUAGCAGUGAAUGAUGCUAAAGGGGAUCAGGGUACAUCAAAAUACACCACUUCGUCAUGAGGAUUAUUUUGAGCUGAAGACAAUUGAGAAUCAACAGAUACAGGAAGAGUCCUCUAGAACUUCCCUUAUCUGCCUAAAAGCAGGGCAUGAAUUUCCGUUUGUGAAGCCAUCCACCCC
rnacentral:lncRNA from 1 species